rfam:Thermotalea metallivorans strain B2-1 AN619_contig000035, whole genome shotgun sequence.
CCUCUGGAGUGUCACAUCAAACGAUAGUAGGGUAGCCGAGGUCGGACACGAUGAACGAGGAA